rnacentral:rRNA from 1 species
AUGCAAGUCGAACGAACUUAAUCUUUUAGUUUACUAUUAGAAGCGGUUAGUGGCGGACUGGUGAGUAACGCGUAAGCAAUCUGCCUAUCAGAGGGGAACAACAGUGAGAAAUCACUGCUAAUACCGCAUAUGCUGUGAGUACGGCAUCGUACAAACAGGAAAGGAGCAAUCCGCUGAUAGAUGAGCUUGCGUCUGAUUAACUUGUUGGUGAGGUAACGGCCCACCAAGGUGAUGAUCAGUAGCCGGACUGAGAGGUUAAACGGCCACAUUGGGACUGAGAUACGGCCCAGACUCCUACGGGAGGCAGCAGUCGGGAAUAUUGCGCAAUGGAGGAAACUCUGACGCAGUGACGCCGCGUGCAGGAUGAAGGUUUUCGGAUUGUAAACUGCUUUAGAUAGGGAAGAAAAAAAUGACGGUACCUAUAGAAUAAGCUCCGGCUAACUACGUGCCAGCAGCCGCGGUAAUACGUAGGGAGCAAGCGUUAUCCGGAUUUAUUGGGUGUAAAGGGUGCGUAGACGGACAUGCAAGUUGGCUGUGAAAUCCCGAGGCUCAACCUCGGAACUGCAACCAAAACUACAUAUCUUGAGUACUGGAGGGGAAAGCGGAAUUCCUAGUGUAGCGGUGAAAUGCGUAGAUAUUAGGAAGAACACCGGUGGCGAAGGCGGCUUUCUGGACAGCAACUGACGUUGAGGCACGAAAGUGUGGGUAGCAAACAGGAUUAGAUACCCUGGUAGUCCACACUGUAAACGAUGGAUACUAGAUGUUGGUGAUGAUGAAUCAUCAGUGUCGUCGCAAACGCAAUAAGUAUCCCACCUGAAUAGUCCGACCGCAAGGUUGAAACUCAA